rnacentral:rRNA from 1 species
UAUAGAUGGAUCCGCGCUGCAUUAGCUAGUUGGUAAGGUAACGGCUUACCAAGGCAACGAUGCAUAGCCGACCUGAGAGGGUGAUCGGCCACACUGGAACUGAGACACGGUCCAGACUCCUACGGGAGGCAGCAGUAGGGAAUCUUCCGCAAUGGGCGAAAGCCUGACGGAGCAACGCCGCGUGAGUGAUGAAGGUCUUCGGAUCGUAAAACUCUGUUAUUAGGGAAGAACAUAUGUGUAAGUAACUGUGCACAUCUUGACGGUACCUAAUCAGAAAGCCACGGCUAACUACGUGCCAGCAGCCGCGGUAAUACGUAGGUGGCAAGCGUUAUCCGGAAUUAUUGGGCGUAAAGCGCGCGUAGGCGGUUUUUUAAGUCUGAUGUGAAAGCCCACGGCUCAACCGUGGAGGGUCAUUGGAAACUGGAAAACUUGAGUGCAGAAGAGGAAAGUGGAAUUCCAUGUGUAGCGGUGAAAUGCGCAGAGAUAUGGAGGAACACCAGUGGCGAAGGCGACUUUCUGGUCUGUAACUGACGCUGAUGUGCGAAAGCGUGGGGAUCAAACAGGAUUAGAUACCCUGGUAGUCCACGCCGUAAACGAUGAGUGCUAAGUGUUAGGG